UACGGAGGGUGCAAGCGUUGUCCGGAUUUAUCGGGUUUAAAGGGUGCGUAGGCGGCCCGUUAAGUCAGUGGUGAAAGCCUCCAGCUCAACUGGAGAACUGCCAUUGAUACUGGCGGGCUUGAGUACAGACGAGGUAGGCGGAAUUGAUUGUGUAGCGGUGAAAUGCAUAGAUACAAUCAAGAACACCGAUUGCGUAGGCAGCUUACUAGGCUGUAACUGACGCUGAGGCACGAAAGCGUGGGGAGCGAACAGG
rnacentral:rRNA from 1 species